GUCGAACGGCAGCACGGGAGCUUGCUCCUGGUGGCGAGUGGCGAACGGGUGAGUAAUACAUCGGAACGUACCCAGGAGUGGGGGAUAACGUAGCGAAAGUUACGCUAAUACCGCAUAUUCUGUGAGCAGGAAAGCGGGGGAUCGCAAGACCUCGCGCUCUUGGAGCGGCCGAUGUCGGAUUAGCUAGUUGGUGAGGUAAGAGCUCACCAAGGCGACGAUCCGUAGCAGGUCUGAGAGGAUGAUCUGCCACACUGGGACUGAGACACGGCCCAGACUCCUACGGGAGGCAGCAGUGGGGAAUUUUGGACAAUGGGGGCAACCCUGAUCCAGCCAUGCCGCGUGAGUGAAGAAGGCCUUCGGGUUGUAAAGCUCUUUCGGCGGGGAAGAAAUGGCAACGGCUAAUAUCCGUUGUUGAUGACGGUACCCGCAUAAGAAGCACCGGCUAACUACGUGCCAGCAGCCGCGGUAAUACGUAGGGUGCGAGCGUUAAUCGGAAUUACUGGGCGUAAAGCGUGCGCAGGCGGUUUCGUAAGACAGACGUGAAAUCCCCGGGCUCAACCUGGGAACUGCGUUUGUGACUGCGAGGCUAGAGUACGGCAGAGGGGGGUAGAAUUCCACGUGUAGCAGUGAAAUGCGUAGAGAUGUGGAGGAAUACCGAUGGCGAAGGCAGCCCCCUGGGUUAGUACUGACGCUCAUGCACGAAAGCGUGGGGAGCAAACAGGAUUAGAUACCCUG
rnacentral:rRNA from 1 species